UGCUUUUUGUUUCCUUAAAAACUUUAUUGACAGAUUUAAUCAAAUUGAACAGAAUUCUCUCUAGCAAAAUGUCUAACAUUAGUUCCAAGCAAAGCAAAAUGUCUAACAUUCAAUGUCAUACAAAAGUAACAAAAUACAUAGUCUAAUAUCCAAAAUUAUCAAAUUACAUCCAAAUCACAUCCAAAAGUUACAUAAAAAAUACAUCUGAAAAUGCGUUCAUCACUGACACAGGAAGCCAUCCUCCAUGUUCCUUCACCUGCACAUAGUAUAGACCCCUGAUCAUUAAAAUUUAAUAUUUUUUAGUACAGUAAGUCAAUAUCAUCAAUCUCCUGCCAAUGACAGAAAAUAAAGCACCAUACAUACUUCAUUACACACAAAUAUCUAGAGCUAAAGAAGGAUGUUACUCGAUUCCAAAAACUUGAAAGUAAUCAUAGAUCCACAUACAAACUUGAGCAUAAGACAACUACACUAAGAUGAACAAACUAAAACAGGUGAGAACAAGGUAGAAAAUACAAUACUUGUAUCAAAACUUUUCUAGCAGAAGAUUGCUUGCCUAUCAAUAUUCUUCAAGUAUCUUGACCAAGGGAAGCAGUCCUUUUUCAUAUGUUGUGGCCAAGAGAUCUUAUAUAUAACCUAAAGCCUAUUAAUUAAUAUUAUGGGUUAGUAUAUAGCAUCUCACAUUCUUAACACGAAUUUAACAGUGAAUUCAUCACUUUAACAGAUAAACUGGAACAAGUACUUAGAUGCAUCACACAAAAGAAAAUUGCAUUCUUAUGUGGCCCCCUGUUAAUCAGUUAAGAUUGUUUAAAUAUCCUCCAAGAGAAAAUUAACUUGCAAACAAGAAGUUGCAGAAAAUUGCACAACAUGGUUAUCCAUGAGAGAUUAAAACCUAUAAUGAUCAAAUUUGGUAAUUAACUUUUCAGAAUAUGAUAAAAUUGUGAAUACCCAUCUUAAACAAUUAGUAAUACCCAUCUUAAAACUAAUAUAUUUAUAAAAAAAACAGAAAAAAAAUCAAAGUAAAGAAAUUCGUACAUCCAGAUUUAAAGCAAAGAACAAACCCAGAUUUUUAAAUGCAUAAAAAAAUUAUACAAUACUCCAAAAUAAAUGAUUUGGUCUAAAAAAACCCAGAUUUUCAAAACCCAGAUUUUUAAUACCCAGAUUUUCAAAUGCCUAAUUUUCAAUACCCAGAUUUUCAAAUGCCUAAUUUUUCAUGUUUUAAUCAAAAUAACCUUAUUGAGACAUUUUUACAAACACCAAAAAAAUUGAUAUGUAUAUUAACUUGCUUCAUAGCAGACACCCUAAAUGCAAAAAAAAAAACACAGAUACAGGGCUAUCAGCCACAAUCCAAUAAACAACUCUAAUUAAAAAAAUAAUGAGCCUGACCUUACGAUUUGCAAACCCUAGCUUCAAAGGGGCUUUGUUCUGUUUUAUGUCCGGCGACUUCUUGAAUCUACCUUACGACUUCGCGAAUGGAAGAGAAAGAGAGAAGGAGGGGUUUUCGAUCUGUAGGAAUUGGAAGAAUAUGAGAGAAGGAGGGAGUCUUCCCACUGAAUUCGCGAGAAGGAGGGGUUUUCGAUCUGCAGCUUUGGAAGAAUACGAGAGAAGGAGGGAGUCUUCCCACUGAAUAAUCGAGUUUUUUUUUUACGACCCGAUCUGUCAUUUUGACCCGCGUGUUUCUCUUUUUCUUGAGUCCGUUUGUUAGUCCGUUGUUUAAGUCCGUU
rnacentral:lncRNA from 1 species